rnacentral:tRNA from 1 species
GAUUAACAUUGUACAUUGGUAUACUAAACUAUUUGCUAUAUAGUUCUCUAAAAGAGAUCAGAGUUCGAUUCUCUGGUUAAUCG